rnacentral:rRNA from 1 species
AACGAACGCUGGCGGCAGGCUUAACACAUGCAAGUCGAACGCCCCGCAAGGGGAGUGGCAGACGGGUGAGUAACGCGUGGGAAUCUACCCAGUUCUACGGAAUAACCCAGGGAAACUUGGACUAAUACCGUAUACGCCCUACGGGGGAAAGAUUUAUCGGAAUUGGAUGAGCCCGCGUUGGAUUAGCUAGUUGGUGGGGUAAUGGCCUACCAAGGCGACGAUCCAUAGCUGGUCUGAGAGGAUGAUCAGCCACACUGGGACUGAGACACGGCCCAGACUCCUACGGGAGGCAGCAGUGGGGAAUAUUGGACAAUGGGCGCAAGCCUGAUCCAGCCAUGCCGCGUGAGUGAUGAAGGCCUUAGGGUUGUAAAGCUCUUUCAGUGGGGACGAUAAUGACGGUACCCACAGAAGAAGCCCCGGCUAACUCCGUGCCAGCAGCCGCGGUAACAC